AACGCACAUUGCGCCCCUUGGUAUUCCAUGGGGCAUGCCUGUUCGAGCGUCAUUUGUACCCUCCAGCCCUGCUGGGUGUUGGGCGUUUUGUUCCGCCGCGCGCGUGAACUCGCCUCAAAUGCAUUGGCAGCCAGCCGUCCCGCGUGGGAGCGCAGCACAUUUUGCGCUCUCCGCUGGGUGCGGCGGCGUCCACAAGCCUAUACCUUUACGCUUGACCUCGGAUCAGGUAGGGAUACCCGCUGAACUUAA
rnacentral:misc_RNA from 1 species